CUUCGGGGUGCCCAGGCGCGAAAACUUUACAAUGCUGGCAACAGCGAUAAGGGGACCUCGAGUGCCAGGAUACAAUCUUGGCUGUCGUGAUGCCUAAAAAGCAUUGCAUAGCAAGGGCCGGGCAAGACCGGUGCCAGCCGCCGCGGUAACACCGGCGGCUCGAGUGGUAACCGCUAUUAUUGGGUCUAAAGGGUCUGUAGCCGGCCGGAUAAGUCUCUUGGGAAAUCCGACAGCUCAACUGUCGGGCUUUCAGGGGAUACUGUUCGGCUCGAGGCCGGGAGAGGUGAGAGGUACUUCAGGGGUAGGGGUGGAAUCUUGUAAUCCUUGAAGGACCACCAGUGGCGAAGGCGUCUCACCAGAACGGUCCUGACGGCAAGGGACGAAAGCUAGGGGCACGAACCGGAUUAGAUACCCGGGUAGUCCUAGCCGUAAACGAUACUCGCUAGGUGUCGGCCACGGUGCGACCGUGGUCGGUGCCGUAGGGAAGCCGUGAAGCGAGCCACCUGGGAAGUACGGCCGCAAGGCUGAAACUUAAAGGAAUUGGCGGGGGAGCAC
rnacentral:rRNA from 1 species